GUUUAGAUCAGCUAAUUAAGCUAAUGAGUUCAUACCUCAUAAAUGAAAUUAUUUCUAUUUUAAAUA
rnacentral:tRNA from 1 species